CAAAUCAGCUACUGUUUCAGGAAUGACCGCUUCCCGUCUGCUCAGCGAAGUUUAGCAUCGUCGGGCUCGGUUAGUACUUCGGUGGGGGACCACGUUGGAAUCCCGAGUGUUGUUUUUU
rfam:Phaeodactylum tricornutum CCAP 1055/1 chromosome 9, whole genome shotgun sequence.